rnacentral:lncRNA from 1 species
UGAAAGAAUUCAUGUUCAGCAGGCCUCCAUGAUGUAAUACUCGAAGGAAGCUCUUGGAACAAAAGAAGGGAACUUCUGAUAUGCAAGAAAGAAUGAAGAGCUCAGGAAUAGACUACAUCACAAGAAGGUCAGGGUGCUUUCUGCUGAGUAUCGAUGAAAGCGGACAAGAAUAUAUACAGCAGAGCUCUUUUCGCUCUGUCUUCUUCAGUAAGCAAUGCUGGUGGAUUCUUCUGCAUCAACUUGGUUAAACUGAAACAACUUAUCCCAGAAUUUCUUCUGUAUAUAUUUCCAAGUUAGAGUCGGCCAAAAGAAAAAUUUGCACAAGAUCUGGAAGCCCUCUCCUCAAGUGACACAUCUGGUAACCCAGAAAAUACUCAGGCUCAUCAUCAGACACCUGGCUGCAGACCCACAGAGGCUAUAGCUGCAUAGAAGCAACAUUUCCCAUGGUCCUCCAAGAUGCCCCCUUUAUGGUUGACUUCAGAGACUGGACACAGUCUCAGAUUGUCCAUUGGCUACUGACUCAUAUUCUGUUCCUCCAACUCGUUGCGUGGACCUCUGCUACCCAGUUCCUUCUCAAUUGUGUAAGGUCUAAUUGCCAUCAUAAACAUCUUACCCACACUUACCAUGACUCUGAUUCCCUGGCUGAAUCAUGACUUAUAACACAGCAACCCUUUCAUCUCUGAUGCUGAAUCUGAUUCGCUCAAUGACAGCAAAGGGUGAUGUGGGCUUGCUUGAUGAAUUACAUGUAGGUGGAGGAAUUGGGUGCAGCCUUUUAGUAAAACUAACUACUGCAGGGUUAGAAGUCAAAGAGAUGACAAUGACAAACUUCAGGUGAGCUUUCAUGUAUCACAAAGCAUCCUAAACAUCUUAAGAUGUACCCUCUUAUUAAAAAAUGCUUCUCUCCUAAGAUAACUGAUAUGGGUUCCAAUUCCAAAAGAGAAGGUCCCAAUACAUUCUUCCUCAGGCAACUGAGUAGGGGAAUAUACAUAACCAAAAAGUGAGGCAACGUGUCAGGAGAUGAUAAAGGUGCAUGUGCACAUAGGCAGACAUUUGUAUUUCUCCAUUAAUAAAACAAAAACCAUGUACAUCCUUUGCAAUGGAGAAAAAUAAAGGGCAUGUCAGAAACAACUAACCCAGCCUUGGUAUUUAGAAGUUUAUGAAACCCUAGAAAAAUCGUCUUACAUUCUUAUUUCUUAUUUUAUUUACCACAAAACUAGCCAUAAGACCCAUCUUAACUUCUUCAUAAAAGAGUAGAAAAUAAUUUGAGUUUCUGCUAUGUGCUAGGCAUAUUUAUUUUUGCAACUGUCCUAUAAGGAAAAUGAUAUUAGCCUCAUUUUACAGAUGAAAUUGAGACUCAGAAAUAUUAAAUAAUGUAUUUAAGGUCAUGUAGCUUCUAAGAAGAAGAGCCAUGAUUUGAUCUCAUGUCCAUCUGAGACUCACAGUCUUUUUACUAAACCACCCUCAUUUCAGCACAAAUCUCCAUUUUAGAAAAAAAGGAAGAGCCGUCAUGGGAAUGCUUACCCUGUGAAAUUAUUUUGAAAUAAUUAUAAAGACAAUAAUUUUUAAAUACCUCCAGACCUGUGUAUGCAUGUAUGUGUUCCUGGUCAAAGUAGUCACUUUGAGAGAAUAUACAUACAUCCCAAUAGGUUCUAACAUUAAUGCAAUUUUCCAACACAUUUUUGGAACUUCCACAAUU